ACUUCCGGCUUCACCAGCAGAGAUAAAAGCGGAGCUGGCAAAGGAGGGAGGGGAGGAGGCGGGAAGGGGGGCUGCAUCGUGCGGAGGCGGAGGAGGGGGCUGCUUCCUAAUUAAGGCUCCUAAUUAAGCGCCCUUACGCCCUGCCUCCCACGCGGGGGCUCCCAUUCCCGCCCCCGCUGCCCAGGAUUUCGGGUGAGUGCAAAGCCAGUGGCGGGGAAGGAGGGAAGGGGCUUUGCGAGGGGGUCCAGGAGGAGAAGCCCCCGGAUGGGGAGAGGCGGCCCUGCACAAGAUCCGGGCGGGGAGAAGAGAAGGGAGGAAAGGGAGCUGUUUUCUUAAAGGGGGCUUGAAGAGGGGGGGGGGAGAAGCUUCCUCCUGCAGGGAUCUGGUACAAAGGGAGUUGCAGGGAAGGAGAGGGGAGAGGGGUGGGCAUUGCUGGCCAGGAUCGCCUUAAUAGUAUUAAUUUAAAUUUAAUAUCUAUACUCCAGCAGAAGACCCCUCGGAGGAGGACCUUAUCUUUAGGCAACAGGCGAAAGCCUUGCUCUUCUCCCAGGCGUUUGGCUCAUUAAACAAUCUAUGGACUUCACAACUGAAUUGGGGGGGGUGUUGUUUUUAUUUUUUACUCUGCUAUGCAUCUCUGUGUUUUUCUCUUGUAAGCUGCCCUGUGAUAUUUGGAGGAAGGGCAGUAUAGAAAUGUGAAGAAUAGCUGUAAAAAUAGGAAGCCCUCUUGCGUUCAAGGGGGGGGGGUUGGGACAAAGUCUCUGAUCAGCAUGCAUAACAGGAAGGGCUUAGGAGGGAAUAAUACUAAUAAGAAUAAGAGUAAAAUAAAAAUAAAUAAUUCAUUGCUUGCCCCCUGCCCACCUGAUUGUGUUGCCUCAGCCACUGGGCGAUUUCCAUCAAAAACACCAAAAAAUUUAAAGCAUUGAAAACUUUCCUGUACAGGGCUGCCAUCAUAAGACUACUGUUUUGUAGAAAUGGCCCUCAAAUAUAAAGAAAUGCCAUCUUUAAGGAGUCCUGUGGUGUAAACGUGUAUCUUGUCCUCUAGGUCCAAAGUAAGAGCAAGCAGUGCUCCAAAGUGCUUCUCUUGUGAACUUGCCAUCUAAGUUGUUGACUCUUGACCAAAGCUCCUGUUUCCCAAAAGGACUGGAGGGGGGGUCUCCUCACCACUUUUAACCCCCCCCCCACUCCCACCGCAUGGAAGGCAGAGGACGUGUUUACUCACAAUCCCAGUAAACCAUGAAGUGAACCAGGCGCUGCAGCUCCUUCCCCUCUCACUGGGCUGCUGCAAGAAAAGGCAGCAGAGGAGGAAAGGGAUGGGUUUGAAGGCUCUUCCUGCCUCUCUCCCCUGAGGAACAAGAGCAAAGGGUGUUUGCAGGGCAGGAGGGCAGAGGAGGAGGCAGCGAGGGCGGAGGGAGCAGUGGGUGGAUCCCCCGCCUCUCCCAGGGGGUCCUGAUGCAAGCAAGGGGCUUCCUUCUUCUCCAUGCAAGGGCCACCCAUGUAUUCAGAGCAGUCCUUUGCAGAUGAACUCUUAAAUUCCAUGGGGUCUACUCUCAGGCCACUAAUGUGCAUACCAUGCCAGCCUUAGGAAGGGAGGUGGGACAGGCAGGUGAACGGAAUUGCCAAAGGUGUUUGAAAAUGGGCGGGGGCUCUUGGGAAGGGGUCUUUUUGUAUGCAACAACUGCAGUGAGGAUGUUGAUUGCCAAGGGAUAGAAAGGAGAUAAAAUUCCAUCAGAAGAGGAGUGGCAAGAAAAAAUCCUUCAAUAUAUAGAAGUAGCACAGAUGACGGAAAAGAUAAGAAAUCGAUCGACCCAAAAGUUUAAAAGGGAAUGAGAAAGCUAUAGAUAAUAUUUAAAAGAACAGUGUCCCCUUAUAAAAACUUUAAAAUGCUUUGAAUAACUCUCACAAUUGAAUAAGGUACAAAGAAUUCAGAGAAGAUUUAACAAGGAUAAAGUUUAUUGAAAAACAGAGGCAAGUAAUUCAGAAAAUUGCCAACCUAGCAGUUCGAAAGCACAUCAAAAGUAGAUAAAUAGGUACCGCUCUGGCAGGAGGGUAAAUGGCGUUUCCGUGCGCUGCUCUAGUUCGCCAGAAGCAGCUUAGUCAUGCUGGUCACAUGACCCGGAAGCUUAGUGCGGACAAAUGCCGGCUCCCUCGGCCAGUAAAGCGAGAUGAGCAUUGCAACCCCAGAAUCAUGUGUGACUGGACAUAAUGGUCAAGGGUACCUUUACCUUAUUAAGAAAAUAAAUAACCUAUAUCAAGGAAGUCGGAAGUUGAUGGCUGGAAUAAUUUUGUGUAUUGUUCUAUUUCUUUUUGUAAGAAAUGUAUUGUGCUUUUUUGUUUUGCUUCUUUUCCUAUUUAUAAGCUUUUGGUGUGUGUGUGUUGAUUUUAAACCAAUAAAGAUUG